UCCAGAGCUCUACAAUCGACAGAGACGAAAGAUUAAGACCUUCUUGGGUCUUUCCUGGAAGCACACGCUGCCCUGCACAUUUUCAAAGACUUCUAGAUCCUCAAUAAUAUCUUGGUGCUUUUCAAAGCACCCUGUGGACAUCUCAUUCACGAGUUUUUCUUUUUCAGUCUUUUGGUCAGCCUCCUGGUUAGCCUCAACUGCUAUCACUGACUAUGAUGUUAAACAAUUGCUGAUGAUUAUUUUCAACUAAUUCCCUGCAGACAGAGUUGUGAACACAAAACAGGUCAAGACAAGCCCUGAGAAUGAGGCCUUUUCAGGAGCUUUCAGACAGGUCAAACAGUGACAAUUUUCCAGGCUUAGAGCUUUUGGAAGAGGUUCUAAUCCAUUUUGCCCCUCCAGUAGCUAUUAGUCUGCUGGUUCUCAGUUACCAUGGCUCUGAGGCUGUUGAUAGUCAAGACUACCACAGAUCUGGGGAAAAGGGUAUGGAAACUGUCAAGCAAAAAAGGUCAGAAAGCUCCCUGUUCUUACUGAGAUUCAGCCAUUUCUUGCUCUCCCCCUCCCACUGUGGUCCUGAGGACUGAACCCAGGGUACCCUACCACUAAGCUACAUUGCCAACCUAUUUUUUAUUUUUGGAGAGUCUAAGUUGCUCAGGCUGGCCUCAAACUUGUAAUCUUCCCCCCUUAGCCUUCCUGAUAGCUGAGCCUAAAGACAAGUACCAUAGUACCAAACUUCACUCUAGUCUUGACACUUUAUUUUUUUGGUACUGGGAAUUGAACCCAGGGGCGCUUAACCACUGAGCCACAUCCCCAGCCUGUUUUAUUUUUUAUUUUGAGACAGGGCCUCAUUAAGUUGCUUAGGGCCUUGCUAAGUUGCUGAGGCUAGCUCUGAACUUGGGAUCCUCCUACCUCAGGCUCCCCAGUCGCUGAGAUUAUAGGCAUGCACCACCUAAUAUCCACCACCUAAGAUCCAGCUAAUCUUGACUCUUAACUUGCCUGAAGUUCUAUGCCAGCAGCUCUUUACCACUUGCUGUGAAGGUAUAUAUUGCUAAUUGAAUACCAGACUCAAUUCAGAGACCUUUGCCCAAGCAGAAUGAAUGGUGUUCAACUCCAGGUGUAGUAACUGUAGUAUAUGGAUUUUCUAUGAAUUUUCCAGUGAAAAGCAAGCCUUAGCUCUCUUUUUAUGCCAACUAAUAGUUAAAAAGGACAGAUAUCUAGGCUCUGGAGGCUGAACAAAAUUAUGUUCAAAUCCUCUUGAACUACAAGUGUGCUUAAAACAUAUCCUACAUUCUUGAGCAUUGGCCUGUAAUAAAAUCAAUGGUACAAAGUAAAUCUUUUACCAGGGUACCCAGCU
rnacentral:lncRNA from 1 species